rnacentral:rRNA from 1 species
GUGGGGAAUUUUGGACAAUGGGCGAAAGCCUGAUCCAGCAAUGCCGCGUGCAGGAUGAAGGCCCUCGGGUUGUAAACUGCUUUUGUACGGAACGAAAAGCCUGGGGCUAAUAUCCCCGGGUCAUGACGGUACCGUAAGAAUAAGCACCGGCUAACUACGUGCCAGCAGCCGCGGUAAUACGUAGGGUGCAAGCGUUAAUCGGAAUUACUGGGCGUAAAGCGUGCGCAGGCGGUUUUGUAAGACAGUGGUGAAAUCCCCGGGCUCAACCUGGGAACUGCCAUUGUGACUGCAAGGCUAGAGUGCGGCAGAGGGGGAUGGAAUUCCGCGUGUAGCAGUGAAAUGCGUAGAUAUGCGGAGGAACACCGAUGGCGAAGGCAAUCCCCUGGGCCUGCACUGACGCUCAUGCACGAAAGCGUGGGGAGCAAACAGGAUUAGAAACCCGGGUAGUCC